UUCAACAACGGAUCUCUUGGCUCUCGCAUCGAUGAAGAACGCAGCGAAAUGCGAUAAGUAAUGUGAAUUGCAGAAUUCAGUGAAUCAUCGAAUCUUUGAACGCACCUUGCGCUCCUUGGUAUUCCGAGGAGCAUGCCUGUUUGAG
rnacentral:rRNA from 2 species